rnacentral:rRNA from 1 species
CACGUAGAAGACUAGUGUUAUUCAUCUUUAUUAGGUUUAAAGGGUACCUAGACGGGAAAUCAAGCCAUAAUGGAGACUAAUUUCCUAGAGUUUUAUGAGAGAAGGGGUGAAUUUCCGGAGGAAAGUUGAUAUUUUGUGAUACUGGAAGGACGGGGUAACGGCGAAGGCAACCUUUUAUGUAAAAACUGACGUUGAGGGACGAAGCCUUGGGUAACGAGAAGG